UUUAGAACUCCUACAAUUACCAGGAGUCUUUCCAAGAAGGCAAUUUUUGCCAACCAGUUAAAUGCAGGACUCAGGAAAGAUCUCUAUAUACAAUCUGCCUGAUCUACCUCGUCACCUGAGAGGAUAAACAGGAUUUACCUUGGUCUGUAGGCAUUAACUCUGUGAGCUUUAAAAUCCAACCUGUUCUCAGAGUGAUUGCCUGCCCAGCUGCACUGCAUUACACUGACUUCCUCUGAAAUGCUGAGGCUCCUGGUCACCCUGAGAGCUGUGCAAAUAGGACUUUUUCUGGGUUCAGUAAAAGAUAUUCAAAGAGCUGAACAGCAUUCAGGACCUGCACUCCACAGACAGCCAGAGGGCUGGGAACAGCCUGCCCAGGGACCUGGCACUUCUCAGGACACUGGGUCCAGACACCCAUCCUGCACCCACUGGUGCAUUUCCCUAACAAGUCUUCAUUGACUGUGGACUGGUUGAAAGGUCCUUGCUUCUGGACAGGAUGCAUAAGCCAUUUAAUAUUUUCUAGGAAAGAGCAGAACUUCGCAUGGUGCUCACAUGUUUUCAAACACACUCGUGCAUUCGCUGAGCAUACAUGAUUACAAGUAUCAAAAUUUCUUAUCUUUUGAAGAGAAAAUCAGAAGAUUAUGACUGUUCUUGAAAAAUAAAAACAUUUCUGACAGAUGAGAGUGAUUUUGUAUUCCUGUCACAAAAGUAAAACCAAAACCAAACCUUCAGUUUUUGGAAAUUUAAAGUACUGAGGAUAGGCUUGACAGACUGUCAGUUUGCUCCAGACAUGAAGGAAGAAUGCCAUAACUAUGUCAUUAUAUUUCUGAAAGCAUAUCCAAAAAAGUACAUUCAUGCAAGAGAGGAAGAAACAAGGAAAAAGUCAGCUAUUUUGCCUACCCUCACAGCAGGCUCAAACUGUAACCAACACAGGCACACUUGUUCUAGGACAAAACAUCUUCAUAUACCUAUCUGGUAUUUCAUUACACAUGUAUGAAAUACUUGGCUAUAUGCAUAGCUAAUAUACAUAUUUUAUAUGUGUACACACAUACACAGAAAAAUGCACAUAUGUAUAAAUACCUGAAUAGCAAUGAGAUCAGACUUGAUUUAAAAGGGC
rnacentral:lncRNA from 13 species